UACGUAGGUGGCAAGCGUUGUCCGGAAUUAUUGGGCGUAAAGCGCGCGCAGGCGGCCUCUUAAGUCUGAUGUGAAAGCCCCCGGCUCAACCGGGGAGGGCCAUUGGAAACUGGGAGGCUUGAGUAUAGGAGAGAAGAGUGGAAUUUCCACGUGUAGCGGUGAAAUGCGUAGAGGAUGUGGAGGAACACCAGUGGCGAAGGCGACUCUUUGGCCUAUAACUGACGCUGAGGCGCGAAAGCGUGGGGAGCAAACAGGUUAGAAACCCUGGA
rnacentral:rRNA from 1 species